AUUUAGGUCUAUCCCGAUGGGGCUUCUGUACUAUAGCCACACAUCGUUGGAAACGCCUCAUACAGUAAUUGCGUGAUUUUGCUUUACUCACAGGGCCAUUUCUUAGGUCUGUGGGAAGUAACUACAAGAUAGUG
ensembl:snoRNA